rnacentral:pre_miRNA from 1 species
GGACGGGAAGAAGUGAGGCUGCCACAGCAUGAUCUAGCAAGGCAUGACCACCUCGAGCUAUUGUUCUCCUCGCGUGAUCACUCCGAGCUAGAUCAUGCUGGCAGCUUCACUCGUUCCCUUG